CCUAGGAAUCUGCCUGGUAGUGGGGGAUAACGUCCGGAAACGGGCGCUAAUACCGCAUACGUCCUGAGGGAGAAAGUGGGGGAUCUUCGGACCUCACGCUAUCAGAUGAGCCUAGGUCGGAUUAGCUAGUUGGUGGGGUAAAGGCCUACCAAGGCGACGAUCCGUAACUGGUCUGAGAGGAUGAUCAGUCACACUGGAACUGAGACACGGUCCAGACUCCUACGGGAGGCAGCAGUGGGGAAUAUUGGACAAUGGGCGAAAGCCUGAUCCAGCCAUGCCGCGUGUGUGAAGAAGGUCUUCGGAUUGUAAAGCACAAUAAGUUGGGAGGAAGGGCAGUAAGUUAAUACCUUGCUGUUUUGACGUUACCAACAGAAUAAGCACCGGCUAACUUCGUGCCAGCAGCCGCGGUAAUACGAAGGGUGCAAGCGUUAAUCGGAAUUACUGGGCGUAAAGCGCGCGUAGGUGGUUCAGCUAGUUGGAUGUGAAAUCCCCGGGCUCAACCUGGGAACUGCAUCCAAAACUACUGAGCUAGAGUACGGUAGAGGGUGGUCGAAUUUCCUGUGUAGCGGUGAAAUGCGUAGAUAUAGGAAGGAACACCAGUGGCGAAGGCGACCACCUGGACUGAUACUGACACUGAGGUGCGAAAGCGUGGGGAGCAAACAGGAUUAGAUACCCUGGUAGUCCACGCCGUAAACGAUGUCGACUAGCCGUUGGGAUCCUUGAGAUCUUAGUGGCGCAGCUAACGCGAUAAGUCGACCGCCUGGGGGAGUACGGCCCGCAAGGUUUAAAACUCAAAUGAAAUUGACGGGGGGCCCGCACAAGCGGUGGGAGCAUGUGGGUUUAAUUCGAAAGCAACGCGAAAAAACCUUACCUGGGCCUUGACAUGCUGAGAAACUUUUCCAGAAGAUGGGAUUGGGUGCCCUUCGGGAAACUCAGAACACAGGGUGCCUGCAUGGGCUGGUCGUUCAGCCUUC
rnacentral:rRNA from 1 species